CCUUGAAGACGACGAGGUUGAUAGGGCAGAGGUGGAAGCACGGUAACGUGUGGAGCUGACUGUCACUAAUAGGUCGAGGGCUUAACCAA
rnacentral:rRNA from 1 species